ACGAACGCUGGCGGCGUGCUUAACACAUGCAAGUCGAACGGAAAGGCCCUGCUUUUGUGGGGUGCUCGAGUGGCGAACGGGUGAGUAACACGUGAGUAACCUGCCCUUGACUUUGGGAUAACUUCAGGAAACUGGGGCUAAUACCGGAUAGGAGCUCCUGCUGCAUGGUGGGGGUUGGAAAGUUUCGGCGGUUGGGGAUGGACUCGCGGCUUAUCAGCUUGUUGGUGGGGUAGUGGCUUACCAAGGCUUUGACGGGUAGCCGGCCUGAGAGGGUGACCGGCCACAUUGGGACUGAGAUACGGCCCAGACUCCUACGGGAGGCAGCAGUGGGGAAUAUUGCACAAUGGGCGGAAGCCUGAUGCAGCAACGCCGCGUGCGGGAUGACGGCCUUCGGGUUGUAAACCGCUUUCGCCUGUGACGAAGCGUGAGUGACGGUAAUGGGUAAAGAAGCACCGGCUAACUACGUGCCAGCAGCCGCGGUGAUACGUAGGGUGCGAGCGUUGUCCGGAUUUAUUGGGCGUAAAGGGCUCGUAGGUGGUUGAUCGCGUCGGAAGUGUAAUCUUGGGGCUUAACCCUGAGCGUGCUUUCGAUACGGGUUGACUUGAGGAAGGUAGGGGAGAAUGGAAUUCCUGGUGGAGCGGUGGAAUGCGCAGAUAUCAGGAGGAACACCAGUGGCGAAGGCGGUUCUCUGGGCCUUUCCUGACGCUGAGGAGCGAAAGCGUGGUGAGCGAACAGGCUUAGAUACCCUGGUAGUCCACACGGUAAACGAUGAAUACUCGCUGUUUGCGAUAUACGGCAAGCGGCCAAGCGAAAGCGUUAAGUAUUCCACCUGGGGAGUACGCCGGCAACGGUGAAACUCAAAGGAAUUGACGGGGCCCCGCACAAGCGGCGGAGCAUGCGGAUUAAUUCGAUGCAACGCGUAGAACCUUACCUGGGUUUGACAUGGAUCGGGAGUGCUCAGAGAUGGGUGUGCCUCUUUUGGGGUCGGUUCACAGGUGGUGCAUGGCUGUCGUCAGCUCGUGUCGUGAGAUGUUGGGUUAAGUCCCGCAACGAGCGCAACCCUUGUUCACUGUUGCCAGCACGUUAUGGUGGGGACUCAGUGGAGACCGCCGGGGUCAACUCGGAGGAAGGUGGGGAUGACGUCAAGUCAUCAUGCCCCUUAUGUCCAGGGCUUCACGCAUGCUACAAUGGCUGGUACAGAGAGUGGCGAGCCUGUGAGGGUGAGCGAAUCUCGGAAAGCCGGUCUCAGUUCGGAUUGGGGUCUGCAACUCGACCUCAUGAAGUCGGAGUCGCUAGUAAUCGCAGAUCAGCAACGCUGCGGUGAAUACGUUCCCGGGGCUUGUACACACCGCCCGUCAAGUCAUGAAAGUUGGUAACACCCGAAGCCGGUGGCCUAACCGUUGUGGGGGAGCCGUCGAAGGUGGGACUGGUGAUUAGGACU
rnacentral:rRNA from 1 species